rnacentral:rRNA from 1 species
GACGAACGCUGGCGGCGUGCCUAAUACAUGCAAGUUGAGCGCUGAAGGUUGGUACUUGUACCAACUGGAUGAGCAGCGAACGGGUGAGUAACGCGUGGGGAAUCUGCCUUUGAGCGGGGGACAACAUUUGGAAACGAAUGCUAAUACCGCAUAAAAACUUUAAACACAAGUUUUAAGUUUGAAAGAUGCAAUUGCAUCACUCAAAGAUGAUCCCGCGUUGUAUUAGCUAGUUGGUGAGGUAAAGGCUCACCAAGGCGAUGAUACAUAGCCGACCUGAGAGGGGGAUCGGCCACAUUGGGACUGAGACACGGCCCAAACUCCUACGGGAGGCAGCAGGAGGGAAUCUUCGGCAAUGGACGAAAGGCUGAACGAGCAACGCCGCGUGAGUGAAGAAGGGUUUCGGAUCGUAAAACUCGGUUGGUAGAGAAGAACGUUGGUGAGAGUGGAAAGCGCAUCAAGUGACGGUAACUACCCAGAAAGGGACGGCUAACUACGUG